CUAAGGAGUAGAUCUCAUCAGCGAGUGUGAGCCAAUAAGCAUGCGGCAUUCUUCUACCAGGAUCUAAUAAUUCUGCUGAUUGGCUGACUAACAUUUCACAUCAUAGAGUCAUGC